CCCAGCUCUUCAUGCUAGAGCACUUUUUUAAUGGGCUCCCCAACGGCAAGGAGACAACACAUUCGUAUGUCAUCCAUAGCAACUUUCGAUGCAAUUUACUGUGCCUACCAUGGUGACCACGGGUAACAGGAAAUUAGGGUUCGAUUCCGGAGAGGGAGCCUGAGAAACGGCUACCACAUGCAAGGAAGGCAGCAGGCACGCAAAUAACCCACUCCCGACGUGGGAAGGUAGUGACG
rnacentral:rRNA from 1 species